rnacentral:rRNA from 1 species
GACGAACGCUGGCGGCGUGCUUAACACAUGCAAGUCGAACGGAAAGGCCCCCUUGUGGGGUACUCGAGUGGCGAACGGGUGAGUAACACGCGAGUAACCUACCCUUGACUUUGGGAUAACUUCAGGAAACUGGGGCUAAUACCGGAUAGGAGCUCCUGCUGCAUGGUGGGGGUUGGAAAGUUUCGGCGGUUGGGGAUGGACUCGCGGCUUAUCAGCUUGUUGGUGGGGUAGUGGCUCACCAAGGCUUUGACGGGUAGCCGGCCUGAGAGGGUGACCGGCCACAUUGGGACUGAGAUACGGCCCAGACUCCUACGGGAGGCAGCAGUGGGGAAUAUUGCACAAUGGGCGGAAGCCUGAUGCAGCAACGCCGCGUGCGGGAUGACGGCCUUCGGGUUGUAAACCGCUUUCGCCUGUGACGAAGCGUGAGUGACGGUAAUGGGUAAAGAAGCACCGGCUAACUACGUG